CAGUCGCCGCGGUAAUACGAAGGGGGCUAGCGUUGUUCGGAAUUACUGGGCGUAAAGCGCGUGUAGGCGGGUCUUUAAGUCAGAGGUGAAAUGCCAAGGCUCAACCUUGGAACUGCCUUUGAUACUGGAGAUCUUGAGUCCGGGAGAGGUGAGUGGAAUUGCGAGUGUAGAGGUGAAAUUCGUAGAUAUUCGCAAGAACACCAGUGGCGAAGGCGGCUCACUGGCCCGGAACUGACGCUGAGAUGCGAAAGCGUGGGGAGCAAACAGGAUUAGAGACCCCAGUAGUCCCUGUCUCUUAUAC
rnacentral:rRNA from 1 species